rnacentral:miRNA from 12 species
CCUGGCCUGAGUCUGUCCUAUC